rnacentral:lncRNA from 1 species
GUCAUCAUAUUGUUGUUAUUACAUGUAAUUGUCAUGCCUUUGGCCCUCUUAUGGGUGUAAUUUGUGCAUUAAUAAAGAAUUAAAAAGUCUAGUUUUUUGCAUAUUGAUUAAUUUCUCAGUCUUAAAUUUCAAUGGAGUGUUUUGUUGAUUUGUUUGUCUUUCUUAGUCUUUUGUUUUAACCUGUUGCGUUUGUGAGUGUCU